AGGGAAGGCUGGAUCCAAACCUGCAACCCUGGACACGCCCUCCCCUCUUCCCCAAAACACGCAGGGCAGGGCUUUGUGCGAAAGUGAAGUUAGGCUGCUGAUCAGCCAUUUAUGUACAUCAAACUCACGCCUGCACGUCGGGGUCUGAAGUGAGCUCUCACACACUGGGGCUUGCAUUAACUCCGGUUUCCAUCUGUCUAGCUGCACUUGAAGCACUUUCUGAACCUACCUGUUACAGUGUUAGGAUCACAAAAGCAAAGUUGUGCUGAACGCCACCGCGCCGGUCCUAGGGCCAUGGGAGCGGUGCGGUGGUGCUAAGACGCCCCCCUUGGCAGCCUAAUUCCAGGGCAGGGAACACAGCAGCAGCGCAGUGGAGCAGAGUGGAAUCAGCAGAGCCGCAUGAUGCGUAUUUCCAGCAGCCUUAGAGUGGGGUCACCGUCUGACUCCGGGAGAAAGGGCACUGCGCUGCCACACCAUUGCUUGUGUCUAUACAUUCAACAGUGCCAGUCCCACUGCUGACAGGGAGAGAAAUGUGUCUCUGCCAUGAGGGAGGCAGAGGGCUGCAUUUCACAGCAGGAAGGAUUAUAGCCAUGAAAGGUCUUUUUUAGCGCAAGGAAAGCCCAAUCCUACAGCAGUUGUAGUCAGCAGGUCUGCAAUGUGCAAACAGCUGCAUGGCAACUGCUGUGUUACCUCUGGCAUCACAACAAUCGGCUGUUAGGCGCUGUCUUGCAAUCGGAGGGUGAGAUCCUGCCUUUGACUGCCAGGGCCAGUUACUGGGGGGCAAAGCACAACAGGAGCCUUUUCUCCCCCCCACCAGCAAGGCAGAAUCCCUACAAAAGGGUGUGGCUGAUAGGCAAGUUACUGACAAGAACUGCUGGAAAGGGGGUGUGGCCAAGAGCCCAUCUGGUAAGCACACAAGCUGGUGUCACAUGCUAGCCAAGAGUGCACACUGCUCUUUUAAAAAAGAGGACUAAGCGCAGGAGUGUGUGACCUACUGAGCAGUGACUGGCCUGCCCUGGCACAACGGGUCCUGUAACCACUGCAUAACCAGCCUUGCCCUGCGGCCUCCUGCCCUCAACAAGGGCAGCUGGCAAGGGAGAAAACCCCGUUUCUCUCCCAUUCUGCACAGACACUUACGAAAAUCAGCGGGCAGAAGGGAUCAAUCAGUACAGGUGCUCUUGUGAAGACAACAUUUCCUUGCUCCCAUGCAUUGUAUGGAGAGAAAGAACCAUCUAGUUCACCAGCAACCCUUCCAGAAGCAGGGAUUAGAGGGAGCCCUGGCCAGGAAAGGGGGAGCAAAGAGAGCAAGGGGGAAUAGAUCAGUUUUGAUGGGGUGCCCAUCAAACCAUGACGUGUGACAGAAGGCACUUGGUAAAAUUCUUGAAAUGAAUUGAAAGGAAGCUUAGGAUGAUUUCCCUGCCUCUGACAUUUUGCCCCAUCCCUGUCCAUCUUCUCUGCAGCACACAUACACCUGGGACGCAGGGGUUAUUUCUGGCUAGGGAAGCCUAUUGUGGGGACCCUGGGUUAAGAUAUUGGCAGUCAGUCACGGCCAUGACACCUCUGGUUUUCUGGCUAACGUCCUUUGGUCUGAACGCUGCAUGGAAAACGUUAAGGCCCACCAUGACUCUGUAUCUUACAGACACCUCCAAUCACUCACACUUCACUCUUGUGCUGAUCUCAAAUGUGAUCAGAAUGGAUCUCUCCCGCUAGCCACCUAGCUCGCAGUUACCCAUCUAGUUUCCUCUCUAGUGGCCUUAUUCUGCUUUUAGCUACCAUUGCAUGUGCAGCUCCCACUGGCAUUACAGGGAAUGGUGCUUGUAUACAGGAGGGAAGAAAAUGGCCCAGAUGUUCAAAGUGUGCAUGCUUCUGUCCAUGUGCAAUCCCUAGUGCGCACACACAAGGGAUAUGCACACACCCAUGCUGGCACUCACACCAUGUGCAUUGCACAGGGACAAGUUGAACACAAGCAAAAUGCUUGUGCACUUCUGAAAAUCUGGGCCUCCAGCCCAGCCUAUAGCCCAGUUUCUAUUCUGUGGGUGGGGGGAGGAGGGGGAAGGAUAGCUUUAAUCCAGAUAACUACUAUGCACCUGCAACAGGCUACCUGCAUAUGACAAGCUUUUCCCCAUAUGUGUGUCAUAUCUUAAUCAGUCACCGUUCUGUUUCCACCUCCUACGUCCCCAACCUCUCUGCUCCCCUUUAAUCACCUCUAAAGGCCAGUUUGGAGAUGUGCACCACUGGCAGAGACUACAAAAGCUUCCAGGGCAACUACAGGAAGGAGUGGCUAUAAAUCCAAAGAGCAUCUUAAAGAAGGGCGAGUUGUUGAUUACACUUACAGACACAAAAAGUCAUGUCACAUAUAUGUGCCUCAGUUUCCCCAAAUGUAAAAUUGGGAUGUCAUAGUAACCGCCUUUGUAAAGUGCUUGGAGAUUUGUGGAUGAAAAGUGCUAUGUAAGAGCUAUGUAUUAUUUUUAUUUGAACGUUUAAUUUGUAUGGCCACUGCCUUUAAGGAACAGUCUGAAGAAUGGGGAGGGGUAAAGUUUUGACAUAUUUACCGCUAGGGAGACAGAAAUUUCUUCUCCCUUUAAAUAAAAUUCCUCAAGUUAGUAUAAAAUUGAGAUUUAUGUUUUCCUUUUUUAAAGGCUUUGCAAUAAAAUGCAAGUUAAGAGACCUGAAUAACACAGGGAGUCAUAUCAAGGGUAGAGGCCAUCUCGUUUGAUCGGUUUUGUUCUGUUUAUUUUUAAAUCUGUGCACUAGCUGUUCAGAACAGAGCUGCAGAAUAAAGCAACACCAACCUGAAAUCUGGUCAGUUUCACACAGGGAGUUAAAAGCUGGCCUCUAUACCUGCUUUGGAGUCCUCCUGCCAAAUUUUGUGGGUUUACAAUAGUGUUUUUACCUCCUCUGUAGCUGCAGGAGAGACCCUAACAAACAACAAGGAAAACUGGCUAUAUGCAAAGCACUACCACCUGGAAAUAAAUACAGACCCUUGUUCCUCUAAUCUCUUUCUGUUACAGUAAUCUCAGGUGUUACUUACAACAACAGUGGGUUAAAGCUUUUUUAGAGAGAAGUAUGAUUUUAACCCACUGCAUUUUGCUGCUGAUGGUUUUUAUGCUACAGACAUAACCAGUUACACUGGCUCCAAGUUUUUCUGACAUUACCCAGCUCAAAAAAAGUGUUUUGUUUGCUUUCAUCUGCUUUGUGAUGGUUAUUAUUUAUGUAGCAUCCAGAAAUACAUGAGGAACAUCGCUUCUGGAUCGGAAACGCAUUGAUCUAGUAUUGCUACACGUGCUGCUUAUCCCCCACAUGAAGUCAGAAUGCUCCAUUUGUGAUGUUACAUGUACUAAUUGCAGAGAGGGUCAUGCAAAGUGUGUGUGUGUGGUUUGUUGCUUUUUUUUAAACUUAGGGAUUUGUAAACAUCUUUGGUCAGAGCCCUGUUUUCUUAUGUUUGUGAGAUGCCUCAUGUAUUUCGUUCUGGAUGCUACAUAAAUAAUAGCCUAAAAGAGCUGCUCUAGGAAUUGUUUUGGGGAAGUCCUGUGGCUUGUGUAAUACUGGAGGUCAGACACAGUGGUCCUUUCUGGCCAUGGAAUCUAUGAAUAAAAUAUUUUUGAGCUAGGUCAUAAAAGAAAAUAUUUAAGGGAGGAAACCCCUCUUUGGAAAUAUUCAGGUGGGGAGCAUUAGUUGCUAACCAGCACAUUGUUCAAAAUGUGCUAGGACAGUGGUUCUCAAAGCUGGUCCGCUGCUUGUUCAGGGAAAGCCCCUGGCGGCCGGACCGGUUUGUUUACCUGCCGUGUCCGCAGGUUCGGCCAAUCACAGCUCCCACUGGCUGUGGUUCGCCGCUCCAGGCCAAUGGGGGCUGCGGGAAGGGCGGCCUGCUGGGUGACCUUAGGCAAAAUCACUUAAUAUGCCUGUGUUUCCUCUCCCACCCUAUGCCUUUUUAUUUAGCAUGUGAACAUCUUGGGAUAGGAGCAGUAUCUUACUAGGUGCCUGUACAGUGCCUGGCACAAUGGGGCCCUGAUCUCAACUGGGGCCUCGAGUUUCUACUGUAAAUAAUAUUAUUUGUGAUAAGAGACCUUAAAUAUUUAAAGAAACCCUGUAAUGUUUAAUUAAAAAAAAAAAAAGCGGGAGGAGGGGUGUCAGGAAUGUCAGCACUCAAGCUGAACUCUGUCCUUAGCCCCCCUACCACUGCAAGCUUGGAGAUUCUAGCAGCACGCUGGCUCAUCAGCACGCCUGGCUUUUCUGUCGCUUUAGGUGAGGCAAGCAGCCCCUGCCUGAACAGAGCUUUCUAAAGAUUUACAUCUCCGUUGAUUUACACCCUAGCCCCUGCCAGGCAGGAUAGAAACAUGCCACUUUUCAAAGUGGUGACACAACCCCCAAGGACCAGGGGUCACAGCUGUCAAAUGACUUCUUUAAAGUGCAAGAGAGACCCAGGACAGGUUUUAUAGUAUUUUAGUCCAUAGAGUGCCGCUGGCAAAGGACUUAAUGACGCAAGUUUGAUCAGUCCUCUCCAGCUGUCAAAAUCCCAUGGUUACUGACUCUCUUGAGAUCAUAGAGAUAUUUAAAAACAUCCCAUUUCCCUGGUCCUGUAAAACAUGAUACGGGAGGGCAUGGGAAUAGGGUUCUUCCUGUUAAAAUGCUGUCACAUUCUCCCAGUAUUCCCCCCACAAAAGAAACAAACAUUCAAUGAAUGCUAAGACUGUGCAGAUAACCACUCCACAAGGGCAGAGUUAGGGUUGCACUUCCUGAUUUUUCAUCUAACUAGGUCCUUGUAUAGCCCCUCUUCGCCAAAUUAUCUGAAUAACUAAGUCUCAUCAUUAAUCAAUGGAUUUUAUUCUUAUAAUGCUACUGAAUUACUAUUAACCCCAUUUUACAGAUGGAAAACCAAGGCAUAGAGAGAUUAAGGGACCUGCCUGAGGUCACACAGGAUGUCUGUCUGAUCUAGGGAAGGAGUGUAGGUCUCCCAAAUACCAGUUCAGUGUUCAAUCCAUAAGACCAUUCCUUCUAUGUCUAUGCUUUAUGGAGCCUGUAUUGUACAGGAGGACAGAUUAGAUGAUUGAAUGGUCACUUUUUGCUUUAAAAAUCUAUGGUUCUCCAAUUUUUCAAUAAUUCAGUGUAAUCAUACAUUUUGCCUCACAUCCUUACAUAGGUGUAACAUAGCUUGCACUUUUUUCCUCCAAUGUUUAAUCCUAACACUAAUUUUAUUGUCAUAAUAGUUCAGUAUCGCUUUAUUAUCAGACUUUUCAUACAGUACAAUUCUAUGCGAGUUCUCACGUUUCUAAUGUACACAGGAAGAAUUUAAUCAACAGCUACCCAAUGUUGUUUUCAACCAAUAGUAUCGACUUCCUGGCGUGCAAUUCAGGGGAUGAAACAGUUGACUAGAAAACUCAUUUGGUGGUCUAUAUCUGCUAGCUAAUUGUCCCAAUUACUGUAUACAGAUUACCCUGUGUGUACUUUUUACUGUGUAUUUUUUGUACAGUGGACAGUGUGGCCUAGUGGAUAAUGCACUGGAUUGGAACUCAGACCUGGAUUCUAUUCCCAGCUCUGCUGCUAGCCUGCUGGGUGACCUUGGGCAAGUUGCUUUCCUAGCUCUGUGCCUCAGUUUGCCCAUCUGUAAAAUGAGGUUAACGAUCCUAAACCUCCUUAGUGAGGCACUUUGAGAUCAACAGAUGAAAAGCUAGGUGUUAACAUGAACAGUAUUGUAGAAAACAUAAUAUAUGAUCGUGUAAUUAAGGCUGGGGCAGACCUAAGGUUGUAGGUGCCAGCUGUGUGCUGGCGAUCCCUGCCUUUAGAAUGCUUAACUGUUGCCUCCUCUCUGUUCUCCAAACAAGCUUUUUUGAAAAUAAAAUUUUAGGUUUUAUACAGAAAAAAGCAGCACUUGAGCCUCCAGCCCUUGGAUGUUCUGCAGACUUUCCAAAACUGCAGUUAGUAAGUGUCAAUCCCCUCAUCAAGAAAUAUGUGGGGAGACCCCCACCCGAAGGCCCCGCCAUCCUAGGAGGAGGCAGGGUUUUCACCUGUGAACCACAGGAACUCUGCACUCAGCUGCCAAGUUCCCACAGUGAGCCAGAGCGAGCAUCCCUGCCAUGCACCUUGAGAAUUUAUAGGAGCUCUGUCCUUGCCUGUACACCUUAGGGAGUCCACAGCUGGUGAAGGGGAUUUGAAUUUUUAUCAUUGACACAGGUGAUGUGAUGCAUCAAAGCAGGGCUCCCUCCUGCACACCAGAGACAGGCUGCAGGGCUCUGCUUCGCAAGAUCUACAGAUGCUGUGGUGAGGAGCUUGCAUUUGCCUCGGUCCCCGUGCGCCUUACAAGAGCUCUUCUCUCAGCUCCAGUUCUCCCUGCCAAUUUCAGCAACAGAACACUAACCAGGAGCCUGACUCAGCUGUGCACAGAGCAGCCUGCUUCAGGUCUGCACUUCAGGUGCAAUCCAACGCUCACUGUAGUCAAGUGCAAGAUUCCUGCUGCCUCUAUCAGCCCCUUGACAUCAAUGGAAUCUACUUGUGUGGUUAAAGUCAAGCAUGUGCAUAAGUGUUUUCAGGACUGGG